rnacentral:misc_RNA from 1 species
AACAUUGCCCUUCCAUCUCACAGGUUGCGUUUCUCCUGGGUGCUUUCCGUACACGGUCCCUCCUCCCCUCCUACACUUUCCUCCGCACUCACAAGAUAGUCUUCCGCUCCACCCAUCUAUCCCUCUGCCUUUCCUUAUUUCCGCUUGUGUGUGUGUGUGUGUGUGCUUGAUGACGUCAUCCGUAAGCGACUCGCUUAGCGGCGUCCCGAAGCGCUGUUUUGGUUGCCCUGCACACCGGCCGGAGCGAGGCGUUAUCGAGAAGCACGCAGGCACCGGGGUUGCGGCUUCUUUUCUGCCCGAGUGCCAACGUCGGUGUUGUGAGCGAAGCGGAGACGCGAGAAGAUGCACAAGACAAAACGUAAUUGAGGGUGCAGUACGAAGCGCGUCAGCCAGUGACGCCGCGGCAGAUCCCAACUGGGGAUGCGUCGUUGCGGGGAGUCGAGUCGGAUGUGCGCUGUUCGUAAAAGAGGUAGCCCUCGCUUGGGGUGGCCGCAACGCUGCCGGAUUCCCCACCGCCACUCUCGGCCCCCCUCGUGUUCGCCUGCUACGCAGCACACGGGAUGUGGCGCAGAGAUCCCAAAGCAGCCGAGCUCAGUACUUUAUGUACUUUCGGUAUGCUCACCCCCCCCCCUUCCGCCCCCUGCUCUCGCCUUUGUUUCGUACGUUCCCUAUAAACGGCAUGACGCGCUGCGAUGCCCUGCGAGUGCCUUACUCGGAGUCGCCCAAACAACGGAACAACGAAAUGUAAAGGCAGAAGCGUCUCCCUGUUGUUGCGCUUUUCCUUCGUUUUUGCGUCAUUCGUGCUGCUGCUUUCUCCCGCCUCCUCGCUCUCGUUGCGCGCAG